rnacentral:rRNA from 1 species
CAGCAGCCGCGGUAAUACGAAGGGGGCUAGCGUUGCUCGGAAUGACUGGGCGUAAAGGGCGCGUAGGCGGCGGCCAAAGUCAGGCGUGAAAUUCCUGGGCUCAACCUGGGGGCUGCGCUUGAUACUUGGUUGCUUGAGUGGGGAAGAGGGUCGUGGAAUUCCCAGUGUAGAGGUGAAAUUCGUAGAUAUUGGGAAGAACACCGGUGGCGAGGGCGGCGACCUGGUCCUUGACUGACGCUGAGGCGCGAAAGCGCGGGGAGCAAACAGGAUUAGAUACCCCAGUAGUCCCUGUCUCUUAUAC